GGGAAUGUGGCUUAGUGGCAAAGUGCUUGCCUCGCAUGCAUGAAACCUAGGUUCAGUUCCUCAGUACCCC
rfam:Dipodomys ordii contig_45349, whole genome shotgun sequence.